UAGGGAAUCUUCGGCAAUGGGGGGAACCCUGACCGAGCAACGCCGCGUGAGUGAAGAAGGUUUUCGGAUCGUAAAGCUCUGUUGUUAAGGAAGAACGAGUGUGAGAAUGGAAAGUUCAUACUGUGACGGUACUUAACCAGAAAGGGACGGCUAACUACGUGCCAGCAGCCGCGGUAAUACGUAGGUCCCGAGCGUUGUCCGGAUUUAUUGGGCGUAAAGCGAGCGCAGGCGGUUAGAUAAGUCUGAAGUUAAAGGCAGUGGCUCAACCAUUGUAGGCUUUGGAAACUGUUUAACUUGAGUGCAGAAGGGGAGAGUGGAAUUCCAUGUGUAGCGGUGAAAUGCGUAGAUAUAUGGAGGAACACCGGUGGCGAAAGCGGCUCUCGGGUCUGUAACUGACGCGGAGGCUAGAAAGCGUGGGGAGCGAACAGG
rnacentral:rRNA from 1 species